UACGGGGGGGAUAAGCGUUGUUCGGAAUUACUGGGCGUAAAGGGCUCGUAGGCGGCCAACUAAGUCAGACGUGAAAUCCCUCAGCUUAACUGGGGAACUGCGUGUGAUACUGGAUGGCUUGGAUUUGGGAGAGGGAUGCGGAAUUCCAGGUGUAGCGGUGAAAUGCGUAGAUAUCUGGAGGAACACCGGUGGCGAAGGCGGCAUCCUGGACCAAUAUUGACGCUGAGGAGCGAAAGCCAGGGGAGCAAACGGG
rnacentral:rRNA from 1 species